rnacentral:rRNA from 1 species
CCUACGGGUGGCAGCAGUGGGGAAUAUUGGGCAAUGGCGGAAAGUCUGACCCAGCAAAGCCGCGUGAAUGAAGAAGGCCCUCGGCGUGUAAAGUUCUUUAGUCAGGGGAGAAUAAAAUGACGGUACCUGAAGAAUAAGCGCCGGCUAACUACGUGCCAGCAGACGCGGUUAUACGUAGGGAGCAAGCGUUGUUCGGAAUUACUGGGGGUAAAGGGUGCGUAGGCGGUUAUACCAGUUAGAAGUGGAAUACCCAGGGCUUAACCCGGGUGCUGCUUCUAAAACUGUAAGACUUGAGUGCAGUAGAGGUGAGUGGAAUUCGUAGUGUAGCGGUGGAAUGCGUAGAUAUUACGAAGAACACC